GAUGAACGCUGGCGGCGUGCUUAACACAUGCAAGUCGAACGGUGAAGGCGGAGCUUGCUCUGCUGGACCAGAGGCGAACGGGUGAGUAUCACGUGUGCAAUCUGCACCUGACUCUGGGAUAUGAGCUGGAAACGGCGUCUCUUAUUGGAUACGAGCUGUGAAGGCAUCUUCAGCAGCUGGAAAGAAGUUCGGUUAGGGAGGUGCUAGCGGCAUAGCAGCUUGUUGGUGAGGUUAGGGCUCACCAAGGCGUCGAGGGGUAGCCGGCCUGAGAGGUGGACCGGCCACGCGGGGACUGGGACACGGCCGAGGGGCCUACGGGGGGCAGCGGGGGAGAAUAACGCACAAUGGGCGAAAGCGUGAUGCAGCAACGCGGCGUGAAGAACGACGGCCUUCGGGUUAAACCUCUGUGAGCAGAGAAAAAGCGGAAGUGACGGUACCUGCAGAGAAAGCGCCGGCUAACUACGUG
rnacentral:rRNA from 1 species